AUUGAACGCUGGCGGCAGGCUUUACACAUGCAAGUCGAGCGAGUGGCGGACGGGUGAGUAAUGUCUGGGAAACUGCCCGAUGGCGGGGGAUACCUCCUGGAAACGGUAGCUAUUCCCGCAUCCCAUUAGCUGUUCCCAGAGGGGAUUAGCGAGUAGGUGGGGUAAUGGCUCACCAAGGCAACGAUCCCUCGCUGGUCUGAGAGGAUGACCAGCCACACUGGAACUGAGACACGGUCCAGACGCCUACGGGAGGCAGCAGUGGGGAAUGUUGCACAAUGGGCGAAAGCCUGAUGCAGCCAUGCCGCGUGUGUGAAGAAGGCCUUCGGGUUGUAAAGCACUUUAAGCGGGGAGGCGGUACUCGCAGAAGAAGCACCGGCUAACUCCGUGCCAGCAGCCGCGGUAAUAC
rnacentral:rRNA from 1 species